rnacentral:lncRNA from 1 species
UAUAAAUAUGUUUUUUUUUUUUUUUUUUAAUGCUCCAUUUAGCAAUAAAUACUAAAUCUGGUGAACUGAAAACAUUUAUUAAAAACUAAUACUCAAACACACCAAACCCUUUAAAAUUAUGUUAUAUUCAAACAAAUAGUGAUUUAAUUAUGUCAUAACACAAAACAAAUAUAUAUAAUAUAAUACUAAUCAAAAUGUAACAUACACGCAAUUUAAGUUCGCCAAAUACUAUAAUAAACAGUAUAUUUUUUCCAUUUUUUAAAAUAAUAAUAUUUAUUUUAUAAUAAAUAUAAUUUUCUAAAACAAUUAUAACAAUAGUAACUUACAUAGUAAAAACAUGUUCCUAGUAGCUUUCUAAUGGUAUAUGAAAUGUUAUUUCUUUACGUUCAUACUACUAUUUAUUGCAUUUUUUUUUUUUUUUUUUUUGUUUUAAUUUUUUCUCUCAUUUGUUUUUUUUUUUUUUUUUUUUUUUUUUUUUUUAAGUAUCGUUGUGGUAAUUAUUUUUUUUUUUUUUUGUAAUGCUAACUUUUUAUAUCAUUAUUUUAAGAUUUAAAAAUGUAUUUGUUUUAUUUGCUUAUUAUCAAAAAUAAUUUAAUUUACAUGACUAUACAAUUUAUAUCAUUAAAAAUAUGUUAAUUCAAAUAUAAUUAAAAAAAAAUAUAUUAAUAUGGUAUAAUAUAUAUCUACAUAAAAUAUCCACGUGUAACGUAUAAAAUUAUUGGAAAACAUUCGAUAACAUCAUUAUAAUAUAAUAGUGUGUAAAAAAAUGUGUACCGCAAUUUUUAAAAUAUUUAUUGUUUUCUUUUUUAUAUGGGAACGGACUAAUAACAGCAAAGUUCGCAUAGGAAAAAUAUUAAACAGAAAAUUUAAUAGAUUAUUGGCUCAAUAUGAUAUCUCUUUAAACGAAUCAAAUGGUCAUACUCUUGUAGCAGAUUAUAACAAAACAUAUGAACGUAGUAAAAAUACCAAUAAUGAUGAAAAUAAGAGUAAUGAAAAAACCUUGGAUAAUGAAGACUGUAACAAAAAAAAAUCAAAUUAUUUAACUGAUAUUAAAUAUGAAUUAGUUAAAAUAUUAGUUAACCGAAAAGAUCCACAAAUAACGCAAAUAUUAUCAGAAAAUCCAAACAUACAAGAAAAAGAUUUACUAGACAUAUAUGAUCUUAUUAAACAUGUCAUUCCAAGUGACAAAUAUUUACAAAUUAUAAAUAGAAGCUGUGAAUUAUCUAAAAAAAAACACAUUGGUGAUAUUGACGAGGCUGAAAUAUAUUACGACUCGAUAUUACACUUGUUGCGCACAUACUUUUUCCUUACUAGAAGUAAAAGAGAUUUAGGAUUUAAAAACAAUAUAUUGAAAGCGGUAUAUUUCAAUCUAUCUAAAUUCAUCAACCUAAUAGAUAAACACUUUAAGACUAAGUUACUUAAACAAAUGAUAAACAAGGAAAUAGAUCCAAAUAUAAAAUUGUCAUAUAAAGAAGGUUUUAAAUUAUUUAGUUAUGCAUGGUUUUAUCCAAUAUUACUAUAUGUAAUUUCAAUUUUUACUAUACCUCUCUGGUCAGUUGGUCUUACAUUUUCAUUACUAGGGCUAUACACAUUCUUAAGUAUACACUCUAAUUAUAAAAUUGUUAAAGACGCACGUUUUAUAAACCGAAUUAUGCAAAGGUCCGUACUAUUAAACAGGGAAUAUUUUAAUUAACAACAUGUAUCAUAAAUAAAUUAUAACACAAUAAAAUAUUUACA